UGGCUGGAAGAAGUCAUCAAUUGCAGUUCAAAUAUACCAUAGACAAAACUUGUUUUUUGUCUUCUUCUCCUUACUGUUGUAUUUCGUUUAUGGUUGAGUCUCUAUGUAGAAACGAAUGGAAUGUAGUAGAGAAUGCUUUUAAACAGUGAGAAUAUUUACAUAAACCAACUUAUUUUUCUGCAUUGGCACUCACACCACAUCUUCCUAUAGCUAUUAUCCUUGUAAUAUUAGAUUCAUCCUGGUAUGUUUUGCAAAUUG
rnacentral:lncRNA from 1 species